rnacentral:rRNA from 1 species
GCUCAGGAUGAACGCUGGCGGCGUGCUUAACACAUGCAAGUCGAACGAUGAACCUCGCUUGCGGGGGGAUUAGUGGCGAACGGGUGAGUAACACGUGAGUAACCUGCCCUUAACUCUGGGAUAAGCCUUGGAAACGGGGUCUAAUACUGGAUAUUGACUUUACCUCGCAUGGGGUUUGGUUGAAAGAUUUAUUGGUUUUGGAUGGACUCGCGGCCUAUCAGCUUGUUGGUGAGGUAAUGGCUCACCAAGGCGACGACGGGUAGCCGGCCUGAGAGGGUGACCGGCCACACUGGGACUGAGACACGGCCCAGACUCCUACGGGAGGCAGCAGUGGGGAAUAUUGCACAAUGGGCGAAAGCCUGAUGCAGCGACGCCGCGUGAGGGAUGACGGCCUUCGGGUUGUAAACCUCUUUCAGUAGGGAACAAGGCCAGCAUUUUUGUUGGUUGAGGGUACUUGCAGAAGAAGCGCCGGCUAACUACGUGCCAGCAGCCGCGGUAAUACGUAGGGCGCAAGCGUUAUCCGGAAUUAUUGGGCGUAAAGAGCUCGUAGGCGGUUUGUCGCGUCUGCCGUGAAAGUCCGGGGCUCAACUCCGGAUCUGCGGUGGGUACGGGCAGACUAGAGUGAUGUAGGGGAGACUGGAAUUCCUGGUGUAGCGGUGAAAUGCGCAGAUAUCAGGAGGAACACCGAUGGCGAAGGCAGGUCUCUGGGCAUUAACUGACGCUGAGGAGCGAAAGCAUGGGGAGCGAACAGGAUUAGAUACCCUGGUAGUCCAUGCCGUAAACGUUGGGCACUAGGUGUGGGGGACAUUCCACGUUUUCCGCGCCGUAGCUAACGCAUUAAGUGCCCCGCCUGGGGAGUACGGCCGCAAGGCUAAAACUCAAAGGAAUUGACGGGGGCCCGCACAAGCGGCGGAGCAUGCGGAUUAAUUCGAUGCAACGCGAAGAACCUUACCAAGGCUUGACAUGAACUGGAAAUACCUGGAAACAGGUGCCCCGCUUGCGGUCGGUUUACAGGUGGUGCAUGGUUGUCGUCAGCUCGUGUCGUGAGAUGUUGGGUUAAGUCCCGCAACGAGCGCAACCCUCGUUCUAUGUUGCCAGCACGUUAUGGUGGGGACUCAUAGGAGACUGCCGGGGUCAACUCGGAGGAAGGUGAGGACGACGUCAAAUCAUCAUGCCCCUUAUGUCUUGGGCUUCACGCAUGCUACAAUGGCCGGUACAAUGGGUUGCGAUACUGUGAGGUGGAGCUAAUCCCAAAAAGCCGGUCUCAGUUCGGAUUGGGGUCUGCAACUCGACCCCAUGAAGUCGGAGUCGCUAGUAAUCGCAGAUCAGCAACGCUGCGGUGAAUACGUUCCCGGG